AGAGAGCGACAGCCCCCUCCAGCGUCCGCGCCCGCGACCUGCGCGCCGGCGCGCCCCGCCCCGCUCCGCCCCGCCCCGGGGGCAGGUGCGCCGAGAGGCCGCCCGCCCGAGCGCCCCUACCCGGCCGGGCGAGCCCACCUCCGAUCCGCGCUUUACUUGGUCCUACGGCUGCAGCCGGUCUCUCCGCUCGGCGCCGCAGGGCCGAGCGCAGGAAGCUCCGCGGAGUGCGCUGCGCCACCAGGGACGCGCCAGUCCAGCCUCUGUGGUUGAAAGCGAGCUAAGGCAGCGGGAGACGAGCGCACGGGCAACACCAGGAGCAGCUGGCGGAGGAUCGGUGGCGCGGACUCUGCAGGCCGCUGUUGAGCCCCUGCUCUUGCCCUUUCUCCUCCUCGCUGUGGAUGGGCCCGCUGCACGUGGAGGGAAAAGGACGCGCGGCAGGAGAUUAGAAACGGAAGCGACCCUCUGCUAGAUGCCGAGGCUACUGGGCACCCGCCCCUGACGGCCGCUGACCCCAGAACCCUGGUCGUUUUGCGCCUUAGAGAAGUUUUCGAUCUCCAGCCUGGAGGCAGGUUUCUUGGGAGAGGCCACGACUGAACUCAAAGAGGAGCAGGACAGGGGCCCCCGUGGGACAGUGGGUCCACACGAGAACACGGUGCCUGAGAAGGACGGGGGCACCUGUGCGUAGCUAGUUUACCACCCCCUCCCCCCAAACACACCACCACCACCGCGUUUCUGGGUCGGAGAAGUCUCUCUGUUUGGGGCAGUGCUGAUCUCUGGACAUGAGGCUAUGAGCUGUCAGUUAGAUGAGGACCACUACAAGCAAGAGGCUGCACAGUGAUGCUCCAGCUGCCGGUCCCAGAUCUUUCACCAUCUCAGACCAGGAACCAGGAAGUGAGUAAAGAAGUGUUUUGGAGAGGGUUCUCCAGCCCUAUCCCGUUCCUCAGCGAUGCUGGCCACCCCCUGCCUUUUCAGUCCUGCCAGCUAAGGACACCAUGAAGCAAAGAAGAGCCACCUCUGUUGUGCCCUUUCCAAAUUUCUGAUCCACAAAAUCCAUGAUAAAAUUAUUUUAUGUUGUUAAAGUUUGCAUGGCUUUCUAUGAAGCGAAAGACAACCAGGAUACCCACUAACCAACUGUGCUUGAGAACGCUUACUUCUUACACUUGUUUUUUAAAUAAAUAAAUUUAUUUAUUUGGGCUGCGUUGGGUCUUCGUUGCUGUGCACAGGCUUUUCUCUAGUUGCAGUGAGCAGGGGCUACUCUUCGUUGUGGUGCGUGGGCUUCUCGUUGCGGUGGCUUCUCUUGUUACGGAACACGGGCUCUAGGCGCGCAGGCUUCAGUAGUUGUGGCACGUAGGUUCAGUAGUUGUGGCUUGCGGGCUCAGUAGUUGUGGCUCGUGGGCUCUAGAGCACAGGCUCA